rnacentral:rRNA from 1 species
UGCAGUCGACGGUAGCACAGAGAGCUUGCUCUCGGGUGANGAGUGGCGGACGGGUGAGUAAUGNNUGGGAAACUGCCUGAUGGAGGGGGAUAACUACUGGAAACGGUAGCUAAUACCGCAUAACGUCGCAAGACCAAAGAGGGGGACCUUCGGGCCUCUUGCCAUCAGAUGUGCCCAGAUGGGAUUAGCUAGUAGGUGGGGUAACGGCUCACCUAGGCGACGAUCCCUAGCUGGUCUGAGAGGAUGACCAGCCACACUGGAACUGAGACACGGUCCAGACUCCUACGGGAGGCAGCAGUGGGGAAUAUUGCACAAUGGGCGCAAGCCUGAUGCAGCCAUGCCGCGUGUAUGAAGAAGGCCUUCGGGUUGUAAAGUACUUUCAGCGGGGAGGAAGGUGUUGUGGUUAAUAACCACAGCAAUUGACGUUACCCGCAGAAGAAGCACCGGCUAACUCCGUGCCAGCAGCCGCGGUAAUACGGAGGGUGCAAGCGUUAAUCGGAAUUACUGGGCGUAAAGCGCACGCAGGCGGUCUGUCAAAGUCGGAUGUGAAAUCCCCGGGCUCAACCCUGGGAACUGCAUUCGAAACUGGCAGGCUGGAGUCUUUGUAGAGGGGGGUAGAAUUCCAGGUGUAGCGGUGAAAUGCGUAGAGAUCUUGGAGGAAUACCGGUGGCGAAGGCGGCCCCCUGGACAAAGACUGACGCUCAGGUGCGAAAGCGUGGGGAGCAAACAGGAUUAGAUACCCCUGGUAGUCCACGCCGUAAACGAUGUCGAUUUGGAGGUUGUGCCCUUGAGGCGUGGUUUCCGGAGCUAACGCGUUAAUUCGACCGCCCUGGGGGGUACGGCCGCAAGGUUAAAAC